CAAAUUAUGUCUCGUUGCACAAACAGAAAAGAAAAUAGCGGAAAAGAAACCCGCUCUAAUAUUUUCCCACAAUAUUAUGUAUUUCACUUCUUCAAGACUCCAACUGCUCAUUUCUUCAAGACUCCAACUGCUCAUCCUGUCAAAAUAAAAAAAGCUUCAACUGCUCAUCUCCUCAACUCACACCCUCUCCGGUCCGCCCUCCUCUUUUCUUUCUUCCGAUGACUGGUUGGCACUUCCGACGACAUCCCGACGUUUCUCAGGUGGUGAGGUAGGUGGCGGCUGGAGUUCAGCGGCGAGGCUAGCGGCAAGUUCGGCUGCAAGCAUAUGUGAAAACUUAAUACAUAGAACAAGCUAAAGUUGACUGAAACACCAACCAAUUUUUCACGAUCUACGGCGAGAAUAAUGUAUGACAUGAUGAAUUAGCCACCCGUUCUUCCAACACGAUCUUGAAGGAUCAUCCAAACCUAUUGAAGUGGAACAGGAACCAUACUAUGUCAGAUUAUUUGAGAAGACCAAAAAAUAAGGAACAAUGGGUCGUGACCAUCUUCCCAAAUUAGCAAAGGAAAGCCAUAUGAAGUAUGACAAGGCUUGGAUUAUGUGAAUUUCUUUGUAGAUUAUGGGUAGUGCUAAUUAGUUUGUUUUUUAGAUUUCCUUUGAAUUUUGUAACACAUUUAAGUUACAUAGGAUGUCGAAUUUGAAGAUUAUUUUGUACUCCACCGGUUGUCUACAAUUUGCUAUUCCAUGAAUACUUCUUUUAUUAUAUCAUACUUUUGUUUUUAAUAAGUUUAUAUACUUAUAUAUGAAUAUUUGGACAAUUAAUUAGGUAUUACACAUUGUUCUUUGAAUAAAGCGUGAGAUUUAAAAUUA